ensembl:lncRNA
CAAAACACAAAACAUCUCCCUGUGCACGAACUCCUCACAUUCAGGUACACAUACAAACACAUCCUUCCACGUCCUCUUCCAUACCCCUUCCCCUCAGCCCCCCUACUCAUGAUCUGCGGUACCCUCAGUCCCAAAUCAUAAUCAGCGCCCGCGCAGCCCGGGUUGGACACAAACGCGCGCACGCGCGCACUCCCCUCCCCGCGCCAGCUGGGGAGGCUUCGGGCGGGCGCCGGCUUCGGAUUCCAGGUGUAGUGGCGGUUCCGCGCUCCGCGUUUUCCAGUCCGCCGCGGUGUUGGAGGCGAGGCGAGGAAGGGAGCUGGAAUAACAAAGGGCCGGCGAGAUCAUUCCUUCCACCACCGGAGGGAGAAGAGGCAAAAUGAAUUUGCCAGCCCUGAAUUCAUUCUCAAGGCUACGCUAUUCUGACAGCCAGCAAACUCAGCCUGGAUUCCUGAGAGCUCAGAGGACUGCAGCUCAGCUAUUUGUGUACACGGCUUAUCUCGCUGCCAGACUGAGAGGCAGCGCGGGCUUGUUGAAAGAGCAUGGACUUUGGAGCCGUACGACCUGGCCCUGAAUCCCAGCCCUGCCGCUUAGGGCUGUGAGCCUUUGGGAGCUUACACCACCUCUUGGAGCCUCAGUUUCCUUAUCUGUAAAGUGGGGCUGAUGAUAACUACCAAGGUGGUUUGACCAUUAAAUGAGCUUAGAAAUGUAAGCCUCCUUUCCUGUUUCUGUCUGGACUGUCAUCCCCUUUGGGACAAAGGUUGUAUCCAGCAUCUGUUUGUAUUAUCCUGGUUAUAACAAUAACAGUAUAAUGACAACAAUGGGAACGACUUAGUGGCC